GAGGAAGGCAUGGAGACAGGAGUGGGCAGGGUGUGCCCAGGAGCACAGGGUCAAGGCUGGGGACAAGGAGAUGGGAGGAGGGACGGGGAGAUGCCUGCAGUCUAUGGUGUGUGGAGUGCGCUGGGCCAGCCUAGGCCAGGGUGGCUUGGGGACAGAGCCCUCUUUGUAUAAGCACAGGAAGCAGCUGGGAGUCAAAGCAUUGCAUACAACGCCAGGAGUUUGGCCACGUGCCCAGGAAUGAGGCUUGGAGCGGGGAGGGAAGCCGCAGAGGACCCAGGAAAGCUCUGAGGAAGAGAUCAAGCUGGAUCCUCACAAGAGACCCUGAAGACAGGCUCUGAUAUCAUCCCAUUACACAGAUGAGGAAACUGAGGCACAGAGCCACCACAUCGCCCACUGGGACCCCACCACCAGGAAAGAAUACAGGCAAAUCUGAACCCAGGCCACAAAGCUGGAACCUUCCCCGUGGCCUUGGGCCCCCAGCCACACCCUCACCCCAUUGCCUUGAUGUUCUAGCUGGGGGACCUGUCUAGGGUCCAUAUACAAUAUAUUAUUUCUCUUUCUAAUAAACACACAUGUUUGCACCUUUAUACAUUGUUCUGUAUUUGCCCUAUUUCCUCUUUGUAAAAAUAAUUAAAAACAAACAAACAAACAAAAAAACAGGGUCUCCCUCUGUCACCCAGGCUAAAGUGCAGUGGGGAAGAUAACAGCUCACUGCAGCCUCGAAUUGGGCUUAAGCA
rnacentral:lncRNA from 1 species